rnacentral:rRNA from 1 species
CGGACGGGCGAGUAACGCGUGAGCAACCUGUCCUUUCAGAGGGGGACAACGGCUGGAAACGGCCGCUAAUACCGCAUGACAUACCUGGAUGGCAUCGUCCGGGUAUCAAAGGAGAAAUCCGCUGAAGGGUGGGCUCGCGUCCGAUUAGCUAGUUGGUGAGGUAACGGCUCACCAAGGCGACGAUCGGUAGCCGAACUGAGAGGUUGAUCGGCCGCAUUGGGACUGAGACACGGCCCAGACUCCUACGGGAGGCAGCAUG